GACGAACGCUGGCGGCGUGCUUAACACAUGCAAGUCGAACGGAAAGGCCCUGCUUUUGUGGGGUGCUCGAGUGGCGAACGGGUGAGUAACACGUGAGUAACCUGCCCUUGACUUUGGGAUAACUUCAGGAAACUGGGGCUAAUACCGGAUAGGAGCUCCUGCUGCAUGGUGGGGGUUGGAAAGUUUCGGCGGUUGGGGAUGGACUCGCGGCUUAUCAGCUUGUUGGUGGGGUAGUGGCUUACCAAGGCUUUGACGGGUAGCCGGCCUGAGAGGGUGACCGGCCACGUUGGGACUGAGAUACGGCCCAGACUCCUACGGGAGGCAGCAGUGGGGAAUAUUGCACAAUGGGCGGAAGCCUGAUGCAGCAACGCCGCGUGCGGGAUGACGGCCUUCGGGUUGUAAACCGCUUUCGCCUGUGACGAAGCGUGAGUGACGGUAAUGGGUAAAGAAGCACCGGCUAACUACGUGCCAGCAGCCGCGGUGAUACGUAGGGUGCGAGCGUUGUCCGGAUUUAUUGGGCGCAAAGGGCUCGUAGGUGGUUGAUCGCGUCGGAAGUGUAAUCUUGGGGCUUAACCCUGAGCGUGCUUUCGAUACGGGUUGACUUGAGGAAGGUAGGGGAGAAUGGAAUUCCUGGUGGAGCGGUGGAAUGCGCAGAUAUCAGGAGGAACACCAGUGGCGAAGGCGGUUCUCUGGGCCUUUCCUGACGCUGAGGAGCGAAAGCGUGGGGAGCGAACAGGCUUAGAUACCCUGGUAGUCCACGCUGUAAACGGUGGGUACUAGGUGUGGGGUCCAUUCCACGGGUUCCGUGCCGUAGCUAACGCUUUAAGUACCCCGCCUGGGGAGUACGGCCGCAAGGCUAAAACUCAAAGGAAUUGACGGGGCCCCGCACAAGCGGCGGAGCAUGCGGAUUAAUUCGAUGCAACGCGUAGAACCUUACCUGGGUUUGACAUGGAUCGGGAGUGCUCAGAGAUGGGUGUGCCUCUUUUGGGGUCGGUUCACAGGUGGUGCAUGGCUGUCGUCAGCUCGUGUCGUGAGAUGUUGGGUUAAGUCCCGCAACGAGCGCAACCCUUGUUCACUGUUGCCAGCACGUUAUGGUGGGGACUCAGUGGAGACCGCCGGGGUCAACUCGGAGGAAGGUGGGGAUGACGUCAAGUCAUCAUGCCCCUUAUGUCCAGGGCUUCACGCAUGCUACAAUGGCUGGUACAGAGAGUGGCGAGCCUGUGAGGGUGAGCGAAUCUCGGAAAGCCGGUCUCAGUUCGGAUUGGGGUCUGCAACUCGACCUCAUGAAGUCGGAGUCGCUAGUAAUCGCAGAUCAGCAACGCUGCGGUGAAUACGUUCCCGGG
rnacentral:rRNA from 1 species